CUAAGCAAAGCCUCCAGGUUAAUAAGCCUCUGGGCCCCUAGAGAGGGGAACCUCUUCCUGUGCUACGCCGGGCUGUUUUACGACCGGUUUUGUGGAGAUAGGAUGCAAACCCUGGCCGAAAAGGCAGCGGAGAGGUGACUGUCACAUUUCCACUGAAGUCUGAGAAACAGUUCGUUGGUAAAAUCACCAUUCAAGGCAGGCAUCAGGAGCACAAGGGGAAACGCUGCUUGAGAUGUCCUGAAAGUUGCUGAAGAGAUAGUGGGAAUACACAUGUGGUAAUGCGCCAUUUUAUACUGUGUCUUGUACUUGGGACAAAGGCAACUCCUUCAGAAAAGAAGAGAAAAAGGGGAGCUGGUCCCCACGUUUUCAGUGAGCAGAGCCACCGUACCAGCUCGGAAUUUUACUUGAGAGAGUAAUCUCAUUUUUAUGGUUUGUACCAUUAAUGCUUCCCCCCCCCAUUUAUACUCUUGCCCUUAGUUUAUCUCCUCUUAAAAAUAGUUCUCUUGAGGUGUAAUUGAUAUACAAUAAACUGUACAUAUUCUGCGUGUACGAUUUUAUAUCCCAACUAAUCUACUUACAGUAUCCUCAUUAUUUGGAGUUAGAAUGUGGGUAUUUGUGAAUACCGGAAUUCAUUCAACAAAGUAUUUACUGUAUGUUGUGCCAGGCCGUGGUUAUGCAGACUUGAAAGACUGUGGCUCAGAGACCAAAUUUGAAGCGCAGAUAGGAUUUAUCUGGCCCAAUUUUGGGAGCCCGCGUGGCAAUAACUGCCAGGUCUGAGUAGACGUUGCCCUUGUUAGAUGACACUUCGACUUUUUCACCCAGGCUACUUCACUCCUUUAAUUUGCCUUCCUGGUCACUAUUAGAAUUAAAGUUUGAGACUCUUCAGUUAGACAGUCUAAGAUAAAAGACAUGCUCCCUGUCUUCAAUAUGCUUCUAUUCUAGAGGAGUGACCAUCUCCGUAUUAUAAUGUGGGUUGUCAAGCUACAGCCCAUGGGUCAAA